rnacentral:rRNA from 1 species
AUUGAACGCUGGCGGCAGGCUUAACACAUGCAAGUCGAGCGGGGAAAGGUAGCUUGCUACCUGACCUAGCGGCGGACGGGUGAGUAAUGCUUAGGAAUCUGCCUAUUAGUGGGGGACAACAUCUCGAAAGGGAUGCUAAUACCGCAUACGUCCUACGGGAGAAAGCAGGGGACCUUCGGGCCUUGCGCUAAUAGAUGAGCCUAAGUCGGAUUAGCUAGUUGGUGGGGUAAAGGCCUACCAAGGCGACGAUCUGUAGCGGGUCUGAGAGGAUGAUCCGCCACACGGGGACUGAGACACGGCCCAGACUCCUACGGGGGGCAGCAGUGGGGAAUUUUGGACAAUGGGGGGAACCCUGAUCCAGCCAUGCCGCGUGUGUGAAGAAGGCCUUUUGGUUGUAAAGCACUUUAAGCGAGGAGGAGGCUACCGAGAUUAAUACUCUUGGAUAGUGGACGUUACUCGCAGAAUAAGCACCGGCUAACUCUGUG